UACGUAGGGCGCAAGCGUUGCCCGGAAUUAUUGGGCGUAAAGAGCUCGUUAGGCGGUCUGUCGCGUCUGUUGUGAAAACUCGAGGCUCAACCUCGGGCUUGCAGUGGAUACGGGCAGACUAGAGUGCGGUAGGGGGAGACUGGAAUUCCUGGUGUAGCGGUGGAAUGCGCAGAUAUCAGGAGGAACACCGAUGGCGAAGGCAGGUCUCUGGGCCGCAACUGACGCUGAGGAGCGAAAGCAUGGGGAGCGAACAGG
rnacentral:rRNA from 1 species